GAACACUGGGAGGAGAGGGAGGCAGUGCAUACCCUUCAUCCCAGCCUUCCAGAAAGACGCAGGCGCUCAUCUGCAAAGCCAGCUGCGGCUGAAUAGGAUGUGUUUCCAUCCUCCAGUGUUUCCUGUCUUUCUAGUGACUUCCUAUCUCUCGUUGAUUGACAAAUCGUUUUAAGAUGCUGGAGACUGAUGAAAAACAAAACCAAAUCCUGCUGUGAUCCUUUCACAGCUGGGCCCUUUCUGUUCCAUAUCUGAGUGGCAGGCAGGACUUAGUGUGAUCAAAAAGGAGAAGGCUGAAGGAACAUCGCUCUGAAGAGAGGAAGGCAAAGCCAGGGGCUCUGUCUCCAGGCCUAGAGCUCUGAGUCGCCCUGGCACAGGCGUGGGAAAGCUAGACCCGCAGAGAGGAAUGGGCAGAGCCCCCAAACCCAGCCUGGAUGGGGUUUUACGACUGAAAGAGACCAACUUUGCUAAAGCUGGACUCCCGGGUAGGAAGCGUGUUCUUUCGCCUGAAGGCUCCCACUGCUGGCGAAGUGCGGGCUUUGCCUCAGGGCCCCGGAAAUGUUCCACGGACGAACAAAUUAAGACCCUGAAUAUUUGUGCAAGAGCUGAUGAAAGAGAAGGGCAAAGAGUGAUGGAAUGAGUUUUAGACAUGGUCAGUCUACCGGGGCACUGACCAUUGUUUCGGAAAGCAGGAGUAUCUUCUGGUGUUAGGUGAUUCUCCCCUGUGAAACUGCCCAGGCCUUCCCAAAGGCUAACGUGUUCAGAUGGGCAGAGGGCUGCAGGAGCAAAACCAGCCAGCAGGGGUCGCCUCCACAUUUGCUCCUUGGUGGGGAUGGGUCUUAGCCUUCUGCAAGACAUUUCCCAGUCCCUCUGUUCUUAAAAUUUUUAAAGCUCGUUAUACUGAGAAGCCUAAAACUUUUAUUUAAAACAAAGUGAGAAUAAAUAAGCAAUACAAGAC
ensembl:lncRNA